rnacentral:rRNA from 1 species
UACGAGGGGGGCAAAUGUUGUUCGGAAUUACUGGGCGUAAAGCGUGCGCAGGCGGCUUUGCAAGACAGAUGUGAAAUCCCCGGGCUCAACCUGGGAACUGCAUUUGUGACUGCAAGGCUGGAGUACGGCAGAGGGGGAUGGAAUUCCGCGUGUAGCAGUGAAAUGCGUAGAUAUGCGGAGGAACACCGAUGGCGAAGGCAAUCCCCUGGGCCUGUACUGACGCUCAUGCACGAAAGCGUGGGGAGCAAACAGG